ACCGAGGUCUAUCCCCAUGAGGCUUUCCUGUAGACCCACGUCACUGAAAAUGCCUCAUUGAGUAAUGAUGUGGUUUACUUUCCUAACAGAAUUAUUUUUUAGGUCUGUGGGAAAGAACUAUAAGACACAG
ensembl:snoRNA